GGGAGGGGGGGCAAGCGUUAUUCGGAUUUACUGGGCGUAAAGGGCGCGUGGGGGGCGGCUUGACAAGUCAAAGGGUGAAAGCCCUCGGCUCAACCGAGGAACUGCCUUUGAAACUGUCUCGCUAGAGGCUGGGAGGGGUAGCGGAAUUCCUGGUGUAGCGGUGAAAUGCGUAGAUAUCAGGAGGAACACCGGUGGCGAAGGCGGCUACCUGGACCAGUUCUGACGCUGAGGCGCGAAAGCGUGGGGAGCAAACAGGAUUAGAUACCCUGGUAGUCCACGCCGUAAACGAUGGGCACUCGGUGCCGCGGGUAUUGACCCCUGCGGUGCCUUAGCUAACGCGUUAAGUGCCCCGCCUGGGGAGUACGGUCGCAAAGGCUG
rnacentral:rRNA from 1 species